ACCAGAAAGGGACGGCUAAAUACGUGCCCAGCAGCCGCGGUAAUACGUAUGUCCCCGAGCGUUAUCCGGAUUUAUUGGGCGUAAAGCGAGCGCAGACGGUUUAUUAAGUCUGAUGUGAAAGCCCGGAGCUCAACUCCGGAAUGGCAUUGGAAACUGGUUAACUUGAGUGCAGUAGAGGUAAGUGGAACUCCAUGUGUAGCGGUGGAAUGCGUAGAUAUAUGGAAGAACACCAGUGGCGAAGGCGGCUUACUGGACUGCAACUGACGUUGAGGCUCGAAAGUGUGGGUAGCAAACAGGAUUAGAUACCCUGGUAGUCCACACCGUAAACGAUGAACACUAGGUGUUAGGAGGUUUCCGCCUCUUAGUGCCGAAGCUAACGCAUUAAGUGUUCCGCCUGGGGAGUACGACCGCAAGGUUGAAACUCAAAGGAAUUGACGGGGACCCGCACAAGCGGUGGAGCAUGUGGUUUAAUUCGAAGCAACGCGAAGAACCUUACCAGGUCUUGACAUCCUUUGAAGCUUUUAGAGAUAGAAGUGUUCUCUUCGGAGACAAAGUGACAGGUGGUGCAUGGUCGUCGUCAGCUCGUGUCGUGAGAUGUUGGGUUAAGUCCCGCAACGAGCGCAACCCUUAUUGUUAGUUGCCAGCAUUCAGAUGGGCACUCUAGCGAGACUGCCGGUGACAAACCGGAGGAAGGCGGGGACGACGUCAGAUCAUCAUGCCCCUUAUGACCUGGGCUACACACGUGCUACAAUGGCGUAUACAACGAGUUGCCAGCCCGCGAGGGUGAGCUAAUCUCUUAAAGUACGUCUCAGUUCGGAUUGUAGUCUGCAACUCGACUACAUGAAGUCGGAAUCGCUAGUAAUCGCGGAUCAGCACGCCGCGGUGAAUACGUUCCCGGGUCUUGUACACACCGCCCGUCACACCAUGGGAGUUUGUAAUGCCCAAAGCCGGUGGCCUAACCUUUAGGAAGGAGCCGUCUAAGGCAGGAACAGAUGUUGGA
rnacentral:rRNA from 1 species